UUCUGUGGGAAUCUUGGAGAAAACGGCAUCUUUGGGCUGUGUUGCCAGAAGAGUAUAUUCUGUCAAGGGUCCCCACUCGCUGGUUCAUGUGGACACAAACCACAAACUGAUCAGAUAUGGUAUUGUUAUCUUUGCCGGGAUUGAUGGCUAUUCACGAAAGAUAAUGUACCUGAGUGCAGCUAACAAUAACAAGGCAUCAACUGCUCUUGACUUCUUCAUGG